CACACCCAUUCACCGAACGAACUCACGCACGGCAGGAGCGGGGGAACCAGGUAGGUCGCCGGACCGGGCAGCGCCCGGCACGGCUAGGGGUGAAGUCGCACCGCCGCACGGCGGCGCGGCCGGGCAGCUCCCGCCCGAACCCGACAGCUCACCUCGCAGGCGACGGAGAGGAAAC
rnacentral:sRNA from 2 species